UACGUAGGGGGCAAGCGUUGUUCGGAAUUACUGGGCGUAAAGGGCGCGUAGGCGGCAUGGCAAGUCAGGAGUGAAAGGCCUGGGCUCAACCGAGGAACUGCUUUUGAUACUGCCAAGCUAGAGUGCGGAAGGGGCAACUGGAAUUCCCAGUGUAGCGGUGAAAUGCGUAGAUAUUGGGAAGAACACCGGUGGCGAAGGCGGCGACCUGGUCCGAUACUGACGCUGAGGCGCGAAAGCGUGGGGAGCAAACAGG
rnacentral:rRNA from 1 species